CACGCAGGCGGCCAUCUAAGUCAGAUGUGAAAGCCCACGGCUCAACCGUGGAACUGCAUUUGAUACUGGUUGGCUAGAGUACGGUUGGGGUGAGUGGAACUCCUGGUGGAGCGGUGAAAUGCGUAGAUAUCAGGAGGAACACCAGUGGCGAAAGCGGCUCACUGGACCGUAACUGACGCUGAGGUGCGAAAGCUAGGGGAGCGAACAGGAUUAGAUACCCUGGUAGUCC
rnacentral:rRNA from 1 species